CUUGAUUCUUGGACCUUCAGCAUCAGCGUCCCUCAUCCUGUCACAGUAACAACUAAAGGAAGUCACAAAGAGAGGUUCCCAGAAUUUAACAUUCGAUAACAACACUCCAAGAGAAAUGAACAACCCUCCGAGAAACGCCUCUUCUUCUCCUACCUCUCAUUGUCGUCUCUGCUUUUCUACCUUUCGUUGUUGUGGUGCGGUGGUGUCUCGAAAGUCUCUAAACGGUGUUGUGGUGCGGUGGUGUUUGACGGCAGUGGUUGGCAUUGGUGGUUCGUGGUGUAGAUCGGCAUUCGUCCACCAGGUUGUGGAAACACCCAUCGAAUUCUGAGUAUAUCAAGUUGUCGAUGAAGAUCUUGAAUCAUCAGUUUUAUUGGCACGACACAUACAUUUUGGGCACGGAAAGGUGUAUAUCGAAUCAUUUGGUCUUUUGAGUUCAAUUUUAAAAUUUUGCUUAAGUUUAUUUCUUAUGGUUUCUUUUUGUUUGUUACGAUGAAUAUUUAAAAUAUAUAAAAAUUUGAUUAUUAUUAAUUCAAUCACAAUCAAACAAAAGAAUGGGUUCAUUUCAAAGUAACCCUUGUGAUCUCAAUUGUGAAUGCAACUUCCCCUGCCUCCAACAAAUUAUUUACCUCAAGCACUGCAUUGUCUGAUAUUUGGAGUGUCAUAGCUUAUCUAGUGUGCAUAGCUAUUCAUUUGGUUGGUCAAAAGUAUUAUUAUUGCUCUCACUUAUUAAA